AGCGAACGCUGGCGGCAGGCUUAACACAUGCAAGUCGAGCGCCCCGCAAGGGGAGCGGCAGACGGGAGAGUAACACGUGGGAACAUACCUUUUGGUUCGGAACAACUGAGGGAAACUUCAGCUAAUACCGGAUAAGCCCUUACGGGGAAAGAUUUAUCGCCGAAAGAUUGGCCCGCGUCUGAUUAGCUAGUUGGUGAGGUAACGGCUCACCAAGGCGACGAUCAGUAGCUGGUCUGAGAGGAUGAUCAGCCUCACUGGGACUGAGACACGGCCCAGACUCCUACGGGAGGAAGCAGUGGGGAAUAUUGGACAAUGGGGGCAACCCUGAUCCAGCCAUGCCGCGUGAGUGAUGAAGGCCUUAGGGUUGUAAAGCUCUUUUGCCCGGGAAGAUAAUGACGGUACCGGGAGAAUAAGCCCCGGCUAACUUCGUG
rnacentral:rRNA from 1 species